GCCAGAGAAUUGGGUUGUCAAAUUCAAUUUGUCUUCCAUUAGUAUUGUAACACUAAACAACAACAUAUUUUUGAACGUGUCAGAUUCCAAUGUCACAUGAAAUGUUAGAUAAAAGACAGCCACACAGAUCUUGUAAAAUGCAUGCACAUGCCAAGGCGUUGGCUGGUUUUGUAGUAUGAAAUUUGUUACCAGCCACGCAACUACCACUCAGUGUUGGUGGGUUGGACCAUGGUCGUAUGUUGUUGUUUUAUUGGGAAAUGAACGUAUGUUUUUCUUUUACGGCUCAAUAACUUCAAAUUUAGCAACAGUACAGUAUUGAACCCAUACCUCCAUGGUACUACCGGGCUAAACUUGCCACUUUGCCAACAACAUAUUACAUCAACAACAUCUAAUAUUCAUGGAUGAAGCAACAACAUAUAAAUUGAUUUACGAAAAGUCAUCAAAUAAGACUAUACAGAUCAAACAAUUAUUAGCAUUCCUCACUAAAAACUAGCGGUUAUGGAUUGUAAUAGGGUUUUGGACAUAGGAGCAGUAUUUUCAACCACUCGUGACUCACCAAAAUCCACUGGACCACAAACCAGGGUAGUAGUAAUAAGGCGCAAUGAAGCCACAUCAAGGUCGCCAUGUUGUGUGACGCGAUCACGAUGACACACGUUUCUAACACGUGCCAACUCCUAUAAAUGGGGCUUUUCUCCUAUAAAUGGGGCUUUUUGCUAAUUUUUUUUAGGAUUCCGAAUUUGAGAUAGAAAAUGACGACUAUGAGCUUUUGUAGCACGAUUUUGAAGAGCAUUAAAGUCAUUGGAGAGUUUACUUUCCAUAGAUUUUGAUGAAUAUAUCAACUCAUAAUAAUUGUAAAUUUCAUUAUGAGUAGCUAAGUUAUUUUAGAUUAGAUCGUUUGAGAUGAACCUAAUUGUAUUUUGUUGGAUCAUAUGACUGUUUGAGAU